GAUGAACGCUGACAGAAUGCUUAACACAUCAGCAAUUGACUGGUGGCGGACGGGUGAGUAACGCGUAAAGAACUUGCCUCACAGGUAGGGACAACAUUUGGAAACGAAUGCUAAUACCUCAUAGUGUGUGAGAGCUUUGCGUCCCAUUAGCUAGUUGGAGAGGUAACAGCUCACCAAGGCGAUGAUGGGUAGCCGGCCUGAGAGGGUGAGCGGCCACAAGGGGACGGGGGCACGGGCCGUACUCCUACGGGAGGCAGGAGUGGGGAAUAUUGGACACUGUACCAAAGUCUGAUCCAGCAAUUCUGUGUGUAAGAUGAAUUUUUCGGAAUGUAAAGAGCUUUCAGUUGGGAAUCGGUACCAACAGAAGAAGGGACGGCUAACUACGUGCCAGCAGCCGCGGUAAUAC
rnacentral:rRNA from 1 species